rnacentral:rRNA from 1 species
AUACGGAGGGUGCAAGCGUUAUCCGGAAUCAUUGGGUUUAGAGGGUCCGUAGGCGGACUAUUAAGUCAGAGGUGAAAUCCCACAGCUCAACUGUGGAACUGCCUUUGAUACUGGUAGUCUUGAGUUAUAUGGAAGUAGAUAGAAUGUGUAGUGUAGCGGUGAAAUGCAUAGAUAUUACACAGAAUACCGAUUGCGAAGGCAGUCUACUACGUAUAUACUGACGCUAAGGGACGAAAGCGUGGGGAGCGAACAGGAUUAGAAACCCCAGUAGUCC